GAGCUGUCUUUCCACAUUAGAAACCAAUCGAGAGCAUAAAAAAAAAGAGAGAGAGAGCUUUUCUAAAGAUAGUCAUCCCGCAUUGACAGAGUGAAAAGUGUAAGUGUCCUCAGCAUGCCUGUAGACAGCACUUCUGAACUUCUCAAGCACUAUGAGGUUUAUGAAACCAUUGGCUCAGGUGGGUUUGCCAAAGUCAAACUUGGUAGACACAUACUGACAGGAGAGAAAGUGGCCAUCAAAAUAAUGGAAAAGAAAGACCUAGGGGUA